CAGCCGCCGCGGUAAUACGAAGGGUGCAAGCGUUAAUCGGAAUUACUGGGCGUAAAGCGUGCGUAGGCGGUUUGUUAAGUCUGUUGUGAAAUCCCCGGGCUCAAUCUGGGAAUGGCAAUGGAUACUGGCAAGCUAGAGUGUGUCAGAGGAUGGUGGAAUUCCCGGUGUAGCGGUGAAAUGCGUAGAGAUCGGGAGGAACAUCAGUGGCGAAGGCGGCCAUCUGGGACAACACUGACGCUGAGGCACGAAAGCGUGGGGAGCAAACAGGAUUAGAUACCCCCGUAGUCCCUGUCUCUUAUAC
rnacentral:rRNA from 1 species